GGCUUGGCUUUUGUAAACUGGAAAAUCUAAGAUCCUUGUUCCCUUCCCCCCCUGACGGGAUAUUUCUCUCUGAUUCGCCUUCGCUUUCCCUCCCUCCCAGUGUUAAAGAAAAAGGGCUUUUCUCUGACUGGCUGCGGCUGCUUUCCCGGCUCCCUUCUCCCCCAGCGUUUCGCACUGCGCAUGGGAUCAAUGGGGACGGAUUUCAAUGGCGGGUGUGCUUGGCCCUCCCUUGAGAGGGGGGAGAUUUGAAGAGUGGCGAAGGGACUGGCUGAGGGUUGGUGUGAGUCGGGAUAUAGCUGGAGGGGAGGAUUGGGGAUACAGGAAGAGCAGGCUCAAUGGCUCGCUCGAGAGCGAGGAGCUGCAGGGCUGUUUGUCAAGCUUGGGCAGUUCGACUCGGGUAAACUUCAGAGAACUGGAACCCGCUCAUUGAAAUGCGCGCAGCAGACAUCCCCACCCCCAGAGCCAGAGUGACUGUAAACACUGCCUUAAACAGCAGCUCCGAGAGCCAGCCUGCUCUCCUCCCCAGAGCAUGUGUGUGGGAGCUGGCAGCAGCAGCAGGGCCAGAGCUCUUCUCCUGUGACAGCUGAACUUCUUCCUCGUGGAAUCGGAGCCUAGAACUUGUAUAGCUAGAAAGUUUUGACCCGCCUAGUUCCUUCGCAUUUGGAGCAAGCCUCCUUCCGUGCUUGCCACCAUUGUGGGUUUAAGGGGUUCCCCCUCCAUACCCACGCAACAUCUGAGCCAGAGAAAGAAGAGGACUUGGGAUGAUGUGUUCAGCAAGAUCCUGCAAGCCAGUGCUGCAUUGUACCUUGAGCAGAGGGCCUAGAGUGUGAAUGACAGGACAGAGUCCCAGCACGAAAAGGAGAGGGAGACGCAUGAGGACAUAAUGGGGCUUCUCUGGCAGCUAUUACAGAUGCUGCAGACUCUGUUGAACCUGUAGGUCAACAAAUCAUGCCAUCACCUCUCUUUGUAGUUCCUGGAGAACUUAGUUUUAGCACUUCCCUACACUCUCUUCCCAUAACAUUCCAUGUGGCAUUGGGGCCACAUCCCCGCUCCUACCACUCCACACCAGGGGACAGUAAGGACAAUCACUGCUUCACAUACCCUUUCCUUGAGAGUCACAGUUGCUGUAUGUGUUGCCAAAAUAGAUAUAUAUGUUUUCCCCCUUGUUAACAUAAUACAUUCAUGGAACAGAACUUAACGUAUUUGCUCUUAAAUUUAACUGAUUUUUUCCCCCCACUAGUCUUGUUAAAUAAAACUAUAAUUUAGGGGAAA